UUAAGCCACUUCAGUGACAUCACCAGAUACUUAACCCACUAGCCACACGGGAACUCCCAGUAUUUUAUUUCUUUAAAAAUAAAGAGACGGGACACAUAUGACAAUAUAUAAUAAUUACAAGCAAGUUUUUUAUGUCAUUUUCCCCCCUACCACCUUGUGUUUCUAAACAUUUCACAAGUUUAAAAAUGGUAGUCAUCACUUUAAAAGGUUUAAACGCAUUUUUGCUCUGUGCCAGAUACGAUUUAACUUACCCAGUAAUUUUUGGCUACAUGUGUUUUAACAUUUUAUGUUGACUUUGAAACAUCAAGUUUUACACUGACUUUGAAACAGAGAGUUUUAUGUUGACUUUUCAUCCCCUUGAGACAUGUCAUGAUAGUACUGUCCUUGAGCUCUUUUCUUAGACUGGAGGGCAUUCUCACCAAUUCCCCACCCAACCAUUGUCUCGCUUCCUUUCGGGACCUCCCAGACCCCUUUGAUUUCUCCCUCAUGGGAACGCCAGUAUUUUCACUCAUUUUAGCACAUUUUACCUGACUUUGAAUUUGACUCGCUUUCCAUGAAGAAUCAGCAAGCUCCUUGAGGCCCCAAGACCCUCUUAUGUUCAGUCUGGCAAAAGAGCUAGCAUUCCUCAUCCCAACCGCACUCCCGCAGCAGAUGUAACUAAUCUACCACAUUCUAUGCCCACUGCACUCCCAUAGCAGACAUAACUAAUCUACCACAUUCCUUUCUCCCAGUGAGCUUGGAAGUGACCUCAGAAUCCCCCCUCAGAGCGUCCAGGGCUGCGACAGCCAAUUGUAUAGAUUGGGCAUAGAUGAAACCUCUCUGCAUCCCUGCCUAGACUUCUUUUGUAGCUUCCAAAGUACCAGUGUUGUUCCCAGGGGAGACUCUGAAGGAACCAGCAUCAUCUUGAAAACCCAGAAAUGAUAAAAGUUUUAGCUGAUUGGACCUGGGAACCUCCAAGGCAGCCCUGUGGGAGCUGCAGAGGCCCUCAGGGGGCCCCAGAGGAAGACCCUGCCUGCUCAACGGGAGGGUGGCUCCAGAGUGACGCCAGGGGACCGAGUGUCAGCCGGGAAGGGACCAUAGGAAAACCCAUGAGUCAGCAGAAGCCUUGAGGCAGACAGAUGGAGAAGAUGGGGCGAGAGAAGCCGCUGCAGGUAAACAGGGACCUGGGUAAACUGAGUCAUGUGUCAGGCAGACACGUGCCAGGUGGGACCCAGCACGUGCCCACCUGCUUCUGAGGGAUCCAGAAUCAUCUCCCUGCUGCUGUGGGAUCCAGAACAAUCUUCCUGUUUUCCUUGAGGUUCCAUUGUCUUGAUACCUGGAGACCCUGUGUUCCUUUACUUCCAGGGUGUCUGGCCUGCCAAGAAUAACAUUUGUCUCUACCCCUCGCGAUUUGGAAAGGUUGAAACAAGACUUACCUUGCAGGAUCCUUAGGAAAAUUGAUCA
rnacentral:lncRNA from 1 species